rnacentral:lncRNA from 1 species
AAUUACAUAUUUAAUUUAUAAAAUUAAAUUCAAGUGACAGUUCAAGUCAAAAAAUUUUGUUAUUGGUAUCUAGUGACAUCUGUGUGAGAAAGGAGUCAGUCUGUUUAAUUAUUACCCUUUACAACAGAUGGCAGUGGUUCCAGUUGUUCAACCUGAAACGCCAUUUGUAGGAUAACCCGAGUCACGUAAUGCCACGCGGUGAAACACCGGAUGGAUACACUUUGCUUUCGCUACAUCGUCCAAUGUCGCCAUUACUAAUUUUUUUUCUUUAUUUUACAGACUUGUUAAGUCCUAUCAAUGCUCUACUCUCCACUAUCAUACCAAGGAUUUCCUUGAUAUUCUAUCCGUAUUUUUUGAUGUUAUAAUCUCUGAUUACCCAAUAAAAGUACACUAAAGCAGAGUACUUAAAAACACAUUAAAAAUUAUCUAUCAGCGCUUAGAUAAAUUAUUAUAUAAUUAGCAAGAACAUAAUGAGAAGUGAAACGAUCAGCUGUCAAAUGUAUUUAGAGAAGUAUUAAAUAUUUUAAACGGGAAAUUACUUAGUCCUCAUCAUCUUUAUUGGAGCUUUGGAGUUCUUUCUACUCAGCAGUAGGCGUCAUUAGUUGUUGCCAAGGCAUAUGUUUCAACAAAGUCCGCAUUACCACGACAAUUAGGGUCUUAAAAUACGUUAACGAAGAAAUACUGUCUGUUGAACAUACUGUACAUUAUUGUUAUAAAAUGUACAAGCCUGUUUAUAUAUGUAACAGAAUAAUAUUUUAACAAAACACGUUUAUAUAACUUAUACAUGUUAUAUUAAAUUACUUGUUAAUAUUUUUACUACUUGCACUACUAAAAAAAGUACUAUAAAUAUUUACUUGAGUAUAACUGUUAUCAAAAAUAAAUAAUACAGUAUGUAAUCACGGCAAUCAGCAAGUAAAGAUUAAGAUAAAUGACCUUGCUAUUUAUUUCUAAUAGCUUCUACAAUAUUUUUUAACAAAGUAUAUACAUUGAAAUAACGGUUUGAAACGGUCAUUUCAGUAUAUUGACCCACGAAAAUAUUUUUUCAUCCUGAGUAAUCAUUGCGAUUAUUAAAACGGAAGUGGUAUAUACAUCAAACUAAACUUGUAUUUUUUUAUUAAUUAAUUAAUUUUUUUUUUUGUUAUUUCUGUAUUAUUUACUCGAACGCGUGACUAAAUUUCUCGUGACCUGGACUAAUAUUUUAUGUAAUCCAUUAAAUACAAUAUUCAACAUCUACGCCUUCAAUUAGCACAAUAGUAUCCAAGCCAUUAAUUAAUAUCAACAGCAAGAGGCGGAAUUUUUCAUAAAUAACAACAGAAACGAGUCAUGAUGAAAAUACUCAUAUUUUUUUUUUCUUUUUUUUUUUUUUUUUCUCUUGUCGACAAUUUAUUUUUCAUAACAUUCAAGCUAGUGGAAUUGUUGCUCAGUUUUGGCAUUAAAAUUUUGAUUGCAUACUCAAGUAAUGCAUGGCUUUAAGAUUUAACAAGUGGAAUGAAGAAUAUGGUCCAUGAAGAUGAAAUAAAAAAUUUAGCCGACAAGCAUAAAAGGUGAAGAAUAAAAAAUGAAAAUAAAAAAGCAUAAACGUGUUGAGAACAGGCAACAGCAAAUGGUUUUUGGUACCAGCCAGCUCCUAUCCUAACUGUGUAUAUAUGAGUAUAUACGUGGAGCCUUUAUUUAUUUCAGUGCGGUGUUGCCGACUUGAGUAAUAUUGAUCGAACCUGGCUGGGUUAGUUCCCAGAUGGCAACAUAGCAGACAACCCAGCUGAUUCAAGCUUGUCGUCCCUGUUAUACUCUUUUCGUCUGG